CCUACGGGUGGCAGCAGUGGGGAAUAUUGGGCAAUGGGCGCAAGCCUGACCCAGCCAUGCCGCGUGAGUGAUGAAGGCCUUCGGGUCGUAAAGCUCUGUGGGGAGGGACGAAAAGACCCGCGCUAAUAUCGCGGGGAACUGACGGUACCUCCUUAGCAAGCACCGGCUAACUCCGUGCCAGCAGCCGCGGUAAUACGGAGGGUGCAAACGUUGCUCGGAAUCAUUGGGCGUAAAGCGCACGUAGGCGGCUUGUUAAGUCGGGUGUGAAAGCCCUGGGCUCAACCCAGGAAGUGCAUUCGAAACUGGCAAGCUUGAAUAUGGAAGAGGGUCGCGGAAUUCCCGGUGUAGAGGUGAAAUUCGUAGAUAUCGGGAGGAACACCAGUGGCGAAGGCGGCGACCUGGGCCAAUAUUGACGCUGAGGUGCGAAAGCGUGGGGAGCA
rnacentral:rRNA from 1 species